rnacentral:misc_RNA from 1 species
AAGUCGUAACAAGGUUUCCGUAGGUGAACCUGCGGAAGGAUCAUUAACACGUAUCCAACGUUAAAACCCCCCGUGAACCUUCAGUGUGCUCGUACGCUUUGUUUAGAAAGUAGCAAUCCCUGGUAAAUCAUCGCCCUUGUAGCGCGAGGCAAGUGGCCUGGCAUCCUUGUCUGAAAGUGUCAAGGGUGGCGCAGUCACGAUCGCUAGAGGCCGACACGGCCGGCGACCGGGUCACCGGGCUCACGCCCCUUAAUAACCUUUGCAUGAAAAGGGCCUGCGCUUAAUUGUGCGGCCAUAAACCGAACAACUGUUAACAAUGGAUAUCUUGGUUCUC